GGUGAAAAGAAGGUGAAUUGGAUUGCGUGGGACAAGAUGUGUUUGGCAAAGAGCGAGGGAGGUAUUGGUUUCAGAAAUUUUGAAGCCUUUAAUCAAGCGUUGCGAGCUAAAUAAGCAUGGUGAAUCCUUCAAGUCCCCUCUUCUUUGUGUGUACGAGUUCUCAAGGCAAGGUAUUUCAAGGAUAAUUGCAUUAUGUUUGCAACAUGGACGUGA
rnacentral:rRNA from 1 species